CCUCCAUAUCAUUUUUUUUUCAAAUAAAAAUAAUUUCUUGCUGUGAUUUGAUAAAGGGCCACUAACCCCCUCUGCUUUCUUCCCCCUUUCUGCAUUUCCAUGGCAUUCUCCUAUUCCCUUCGAUCCUCCACCUUCUUCAAUCUAAAAGCUGCUUUUUUUGGAGGAUAGGUUAAAUCUCAAGUUUAAUUCACAUUUUGCAUCAAAGAUUAGUGUGAAGAAUGGUUCUUCACAGCCUUUUUGUCGAAAUGGAUUCCCCCCGGGGCAGUAUCCCCGGUGGCAUCCCCGUGUGGCUCUAGUUUCGAGGAUGAUUUAUCCGUGCUCGAGUCUCAGGGUAGCCAAGUGGAGUUUAACCGCGUUGAGUAUCUUGUUCGGGUGUUGCAUGAAUCUGCUAGAAGCUUUUCCCUUGCAAUGCAGAGUCUUGAAGUGGCUGGAACCGGUCCACCGCUUGCAAUGGCGUGGAUGUGCACGCCUGGCAUAAACACCUUGCUUAUCAGGCUGCAGCUUAUGCAUUGCUGAAAGCAGCUAUGGAAGUCGAACCGUUUCUCUCUCCCAAUCGCUCCAACAAUUCCCCGGUGAAUGAGAUCCUGCUCGAGUAUAGAUUUACUUCAAGGGCGUACAGAGAGUCAGUUAGACGUGAGGGAUCCAAAAUUGGUAAAAUGGUUCCGAGUGGUGGAACUGCUGCGCAUUGCUGGAUGCUUUAUGCCUUUGUUCAAGAAAUGGUCAGCAGAAUACGCGGGAAGGAACGAUCAUGGCUAUCACGUGCUGUGCCACUAUUGGAAAGCUUGGUUCUGGCCGGAUUUCGUGCUCCUCGUUGUCAAGCUCAAUCGACCAAACGCUGGUAGAGCUUAUGACCAUGGCAAGCGAUCUCGUGUCUCUUGAGAAAUUGCACAGCUUGGCAACUGAGGCUGGAUUCGAGGAGGAUUUCCUGUCUCAUUUCGGAAGUAGAGUCCUCCCGAGUAAGAGUAGUGUAGACAUAGAAUUUUGGAUUGGGUUGGUUCAUAGAAAACUUUCUGCAGCACUCGAAAGAGAGAGUGUUAUCGAGCGAAGACACGAUCUUUCUAACAAGGUUGAAGAGAAAACUUUGGCUACUCUAGCACUAUUUUCGUAUCUAGGAAGAGAAUCUCGGUUGUUCUUGUCGCGGCACAAUAUCGAGGAUACCGAUGAACAAGUUAAAGAUUUUAUAAGUUACUUGGAGUGCGGUGUCCUCGCUAUAUAUCUAGAAUUCUCGGCACUGUCGGUCUAUCAGCUACUGAUGGAGGCAGGGACGGAACUAGAAAUCCAAAUAAGCCCGUGCUGAAAUUUUAAAAAUAAAAUAUAUAUUUAAAGCAGUAUUUAAAAAAAUCUUACCUUUCCUACUUGUUUUUAUAAAUUUAUAAAAUGAUAAAAACACAAAUAAAUAAUGAAUUUCAAAUGCAAAAAUAUUUUUAUAUGCGAUAAUAUUCAUUCAAAUUAUGAAGUUUAGUACUCCAUCUGUCCCGUGUUACUUGCAAUUUUGUAUUUUGACUCAUACCAAACUACUUACACUAUUAUAUUUUAAGUAAGAAUUAGAGUAUUUAAUUAAUAUAUUUAUGUUAGUUAAGUGUUAAUUUAUUUAGUGAUCACUCAUUAUAUUUAAAAUAUACUAAUUUGUGACCAUGGUGUGAUGGUGGGGUUUUGAGACCGCCGGCCAAGCCCCCGCUGGAGCGGUGGCUUGGCACACGCUAGGUCCGCCCCUGGAUGGAGGUGAUCAUCGAUGAGAUUAGGUGGCUCGACUUAUUUGCUUCCUACGACUCUCAGUUUUUCCAAGAAGGGAGGAGAUCGAAGAGCCACCCGAUUCAGGCAGAAAAGGAAAUGUUCUUAUAUACAGUUUUC